UACGUAGGGUGCAAGCGUUGUCCGGAAUUAUUGGGCGUAAAGAGCUCGUAGGCGGUCUGUCGCGUCUGCUGUGAAAACUCAGGGCUUAACCCUGAGCUUGCAGUGGGUACGGGCAGACUAGAGUGCGGUAGGGGAGACUGGAAUUCCUGGUGUAGCGGUGAAAUGCGCAGAUAUCAGGAGGAACACCGGUGGCGAAGGCGGGUCUCUGGGCCGUAACUGACGCUCGAGGCGCGGACAGCGUGGGGAUCAAACAGG
rnacentral:rRNA from 1 species